rnacentral:lncRNA from 1 species
UCUACUAUACCUUAAAUUUUGUUAUGAAAAUAUAUUCUAUAAUUAUUAAACAUCAAAGAGGUGCUGGUUUAUGAAAGGAAGGAAAACUAUUUUUCUUCAGAAGGCCCAGGUUGCAUCUAAAAAUUUUUUCUAUUCAACUAAAUGAUUAAGGAUCAAAUUCUUAUCUGAAUAGCAGUAGAACUAAGGAUCAAAUCUCAAAUAAUCUAAUAUAAACCUUUACGAAGGCCUGGAUAUGCAGACCCUCUACUUCACAUGCACGUU